UACGAAGGGGGCUAGCGUUGUUCGGAAUUACUGGGCGUAAAGCGCACGUAGGCGGAUUUGUAAGUCAGGGGUGAAAUCCCGGGGCUCAACCUCGGAACUGCCUUUGAUACUGCAAGUCUUGAGUCCGGAAGAGGGAAGCGGAAUUCCCGGUGUAGUGGUGAAAUGCGUAGAUAUCGGGAGGAACACCAGUGGCGAAGGCGGCUUUCUGGUCUGUUCUUGACGCUGAGGCGCGAAAAGCU
rnacentral:rRNA from 1 species